GACGAACGCUGGCGGCGUGCUUAACACAUGCAAGUCGAACGGAAAGGCCCUGCUUUUGUGGGGUGCUCGAGUGGCGAACGGGUGAGUAACACGUGAGUAACCUGCCCUUGACUUUGGGAUAACUUCAGGAAACUGGGGCUAAUACCGGAUAGGAGCUCCUGCUGCAUGGUGGGGGUUGGAAAGUUUCGGCGGUUGGGGAUGGACUCGCGGCUUAUCAGCUUGUUGGUGGUGUAGUGGCUUACCAAGGCUUUGACGGGUAGCCGGCCUGGGAGGGUGACCGGCCACGUUGGGACUGGGAUACGGCACAGACUCCUACGGGAGGCAGCAGUGGGGAAUAUUGCACAAUGGGCGGAAGCCUGAUGCAGCAACGCCGCGUGCGGGAUGACGGCCUUCGGGUUGUAAACCGCUUUCGCCUGUGACGAAGCGUGAGUGACGGUAAUGGGUAAAGAAGCACCGGCUAACUACGUG
rnacentral:rRNA from 1 species